GUGAGGAAUUUUCCACAAUGGGCGAAAGCCUGACGCAGCCAUGCCGCGUGAAUGAUGAAGGUCUUAGGAUUGUAAAAUUCUUUCACCGGGGACGAUAAUGACGGUACCCGGAGAAGAAGCUCCGGCUAACUUCGUGCCAGCAGCCGCGGUAAUACGAAGGGGGCUAGCGUUGCUCGGAAUUACUGGGCGUAAAGGGCGCGUAGGCGGACAGCUUAGUCAGAGGUGAAAGCCCAGGGCUCAACCUUGGAAUUGCCUUUGAUACUGGCUGUCUUGAGUUUGGGAGAGGUGAGUGGAACUCCGAGUGUAGAGGUGAAAUUCGUAGAUAUUCGGAAGAACACCAGUGGCGAAGGCGACUCACUGGCCCAAUACUGACGCUGAGGCGCGAAAGCGUGGGGAGCAAACAGGAUUAGAUACCCUAGUAGUCC
rnacentral:rRNA from 1 species